GCCCAGGUGGUGGAAUUGGAAUACACAGCAGGUUGAGGGCCUGUGCUCGAAAGAGCGUGCGGGUUCAAGUCCCGCCCUGGGCACCA
rnacentral:tRNA from 2 species